AUUGAACGCUGGCGGCAUGCCUAACACAUGCAAGUCGAGCGAGCGGCGGACGGGUGAGUAAUGUAUGGGGCCUGCCCGCUAGAGGGGGAUAACUACUGGAAACGGUAUCUAAUACCGCCUACUCUCGGAUAACCCCUCGGGGAUUGGCUAGUAGGUGAGGUAAUGGCCCACCUCGGCGACGAUCCCUAGCUGGUCUGAGAGGAUGAUCAGCCAAACUGGGACUGGGACACGGCCCAGAGGCCUGCGGAGGCAGCAGUGGGGAAUAUGGGACAAUGGGGGAGAGCCUGGUGCAGCCAGGCCGAGGGUAAGAAGAAGGCCCUAGGGUUGGAAAGUACGUUCUGUCGGGAUGCGUUACCGACAGAAGAAGCACCGGCUAACUCCGUGCCAGCAGCCGCGGUAAUAC
rnacentral:rRNA from 1 species